rnacentral:lncRNA from 12 species
CCCCAUGCUCCUUCCACCUGUCAGGCGAGGGCAGGCCCGCCUCUCCCGUCCCACCAUUAGCGGCAGGAAGCGGCGGCCUCCAGCCCGGGGUGCCCCGCGUCCUCACGGCGGAGCCUGGGAUCCCGCUGCAUGUGGACAGGAAUGUUCUGUGAUUGCUACUUCUUCCUGCUAGUUGGCAUCAGCCAGUAAUCUUUCAGUUGUGGUCUCGAAGGCCAAACAUGAACCAGGAUUUUCCAUUAUGGUUGCAAUUUUGGCUUGUAAUUUUAUCACUCGAACUAAAUCCACUUCAGAAAUACCAUAAACUAAUUGUCACUGAAUAAACUGAAACUUUUGAGGAGUUUAUAAAAGCGAUUUAAUGAAAAGAAAAAAAGAGGAAAAUAAAAAACAAAUGUUGUCUACAGAACUGUUGGCAAAAAGGUAAAAACUCGCUGUUUCUUUUGAAAGCGUGCCCCCAGCCCGGCCCGAGCCCUGUCCGCGCGGCCCCAGAGCCCAGCCGAGGGGGCGCUGUGUGUGCUGGAGCCGGGGAGGCCGGCCCGGGGCGUCGGGGGCCGGGGCGCCAGCUGGGUCAGCUGAAAAUCAAUGGGCAGGGGCAGAUCAAACCCUCCUGCAGCAGAAUGGGUCUCGUUUCCUUGAUUAAAAGUACCAAUAAUAACAGCAAAUGUCGGGGUUAAGUAAAUGUGAGUUAAUUACUAGGCUGUGACCAUUUUCACAGUUUCUGAAGCUAAACACUCCAACGCAAGCUGUCAGUUUACGUUAGGCAAUCGUUUGCACGACUACCGGUUCGCUGUCUCACGUCCCUCAUAUUAAGAAACAAUAUACAAAGGGUAUAAAGUGAUCAGCUCUGUUUAUCCUGAGGAGGAGGGUUGUAAUGUCAGCGCACAGGAGCGGGGGCCGACGGAGAAAUUGUUCCUGGCUUUUUUGAUGGGCUUCUGCUGAUUGUUUAUGAAUGAAAAAUCUUUGGAGAAACUUCUGAACGCCGACAAUCUGGGAAUGGUCAAGCGGAGCGAAGCCCAUCAAAGCAUUCCCAGCUCGGAACAGGGAGAGGAGAGGGUUUCCUUGGGGGCGUGCCUGGUUGACAAGAGAGGGUCUGCGGGACAGACAGGUCCUUCUUGGGUCGAGAGGAUCAGGAUUUGGGGAAUGGUGGAGUCUCAUGUACAACAGCAGCAACGACAAAACCCCUGGAGAAAUGUCUUCUGUAGUUAUGCCUCACAGGACGGGAAGUAAGGAGAAGCAGCCCAGCUGUCCG